AACCUACUUCCUCCGUUCCAAAUUACUUGUCAUAGAAAUGGAUGUAUCUAGAAUUAAAAUACAUCUAGAUACAUCCAUACUUGCGACAAGUAAUUCGAAACGGAGGGAGUAGAUC
rnacentral:pre_miRNA from 1 species